UACAGAGACCCCGAGCGUUAUCCGGAAUUACUGGGCGUAAAGCGUGAGCAUCCGGUUGUGUUAGUCUGAUGUUAAAUUUUUGGGCUCAACUCAAAAACCGCGUCGGAAACGGCAUGACUAGAGUGGGUAAGAGGCAAGCGGAACGUGCAGUGUAGGGGUGAAAUCCAUUGAUAUUGCACGGAACACCAAAAGCGAAGGCAGCUUGCUAGUGCUCUACUGACGGUCAAUCACGAAAGCGUGGGGAUCAAAAAGG
rnacentral:rRNA from 1 species